AAUGUACCUGCCUGUUAGAGGUGUAGUUUUUCCUGAUGGUGUAAGAGUAUUCAGGGUACACAUUCUGGGUUCCCCAAGGAAUCCUCACCCAGUUCUUUUUUUUUUUUUGUCCUAAGGAAAUCACUUGAUGACAGAAGGGAAAGCAUCUGAAGGAAAAGAAAACUUUUAACUCAAGUGUCUUCUAAAAUACUGGAUUUCACCCAAGAAGGAGCUUUCAGACCCUUCGGUAGCAUCAGCAUCAUCACAACAUCAGCAGUCAGAAUUAGUUUGUGAAGUGGAUGUAGCACAAGUUCAAGAAGGACAAGCUCCGGGCAGGAGUGUGUUUUGUGGUGUCAAUGAGUUUAUUUGUCAACAAUGGAUAACUAAGGAGUUCUGCAGUGAAGUCUGCCUGCUCCUGCCUUCUGCCCCAGAGAUUUAUUUGCAAGACAUACGGUCGCUUUGCAUGUUCUUAGACAUAUUAGGAACUUGGAGAGACUUUAAGGCUGUGAAUUUGAACUCACUGCAUUGUUGUGUUUUUCUGUUUUUAGAGGCAUAAGCGUUCCCGCUGUAGUGUAAGGCAGAAAACAACAGAAGAAGAAGUCUGAAUAAUAAUGGUAUUCUGUGCAGAAAUCUCCAUGCCUGGAGAACAGCAAUAAUUUGGAGCCUCCUAAAGGUUAAGGACAUGUUGGAUAUAUAGACAUUUGUGGAUCAUGAAAAAGUCCCUUUUGAGGAAGAGCAGAGACACAAACAUCAUUUUCUCCAGCAGAUGCUACCAAACUAUGAAGUCCUUUACUGUAUCUCAGGAAUUUCUAAAGGAAUGCCAUUACUGGGGCAAAGAUGCAGCCUUAUUAAAUAUUCUCAGUUCAGUAAUAUGAAAGUUCAGACUUUAGUUCAGAGAAGUUCUUUCUGACAGUUAUUUGGAAUAUAAACUAGCUUCCUGAACAUCUCUUCUAUUGAGUAGAGAGAAACGGACACUUCCAACAAGUAUUUCAUCUCCGAAAUUAUGGUGCCUAAAAUAGCUGGAGGAAUACACUUUCUCGGUGGUUCUGUCAUUUUCCAGUGGUAAUGGAGGUACCAUGGGAUAGACAUCUAGAUUUUAGAUGACCUGUAUUUCUUCCCAUUGUGGUGUGAAGAGGCAGUGUCUCAGUAACAAUGCUGUGGGAGGUAUUGCCACAUUAGUCAAGAGUGGUAGUUAAAUGUUUGUGCAACAAAGCCUGUAACAGGGUAUAUUCCACUUAAAAAGUCACGACAAUUAAGCAAACAGUGCCACAGUGUGAAGCACACAGCUGUCUGAGCGACAGGAACUUUAUCUGACCACUAAAAAUUCCUCAGAGUAGUGCAGCCAUUACAAGUGUAAUGAUUAAAAGCCGUGUAAUUGGAGAGUAACAAAUAGCUUUCGUUAUCCUAAUUUCUAAAACUACCUCCAAU
rnacentral:lncRNA from 1 species